rnacentral:rRNA from 1 species
GAUGAACGCUGGCGGCGUGCCUAAUACAUGCAAGUCGAGCGAACAGAUAAGGAGCUUGCUCCUUUGACGUUAGCGGCGGACGGGUGAGUAACACGUGGGUAACCUACCUAUAAGACUGGGAUAACUUCGGGAAACCGGAGCUAAUACCGGAUAAUAUUUCGAACCGCAUGGUUCGAUAGUGAAAGAUGGUUUUGCUAUCACUUAUAGAUGGACCCGCGCCGUAUUAGCUAGUUGGUAAGGUAACGGCUUACCAAGGCGACGAUACGUAGCCGACCUGAGAGGGUGAUCGGCCACACUGGAACUGAGACACGGUCCAGACUCCUACGGGAGGCAGCAGUAGGGAAUCUUCCGCAAUGGACGAAAGCCUGACGGAGCAACGCCGCGUGAGUGAUGAAGGUCUUCGGAUCGUAAAACUCUGUUAUUAGGGAAGAACAUACGUGUAAGUAACUGUGCACGUCUUGACGGUACCUAAUCAGAAAGCCACGGCUAACUACGUG